UAGGGAAUCUUCCGCAAUGGACGAAAGUCUGACGGAGCAACGCCGCGUGAGUGAAGAAGGAUUUCGGUUCGUAAAACUCUGUUGUUAGGGAAGAAAAAAUGUAUAGUAACUAUAUACAAAAGAGACGGUACCUAACCAGAAAGCCACGGCUAACUACGUGCCAGCAGCCGCGGUAAUACGUAGGUGGCAAGCGUUGUCCGGACUUAUUGGGCGUAAAGCGCGCGCAGGUGGUUUAGAAAGUCUGAUGUGAAAGCCCACGGCUCAACCGUGGAGGGUCAUUGGAAACUAAUAAACUUGAGUGCAGGAGAGAAAAGUGGAAUUCCUAGUGUAGCGGUGAAAUGCGUAGAGAUUAGGAGGAACACCGGUGGCGAAAGCGGCUUUUUGGCCUGCAACUGACACUGAGGCGCGAAAGCGUGGGGAGCAAACAGG
rnacentral:rRNA from 1 species